CCCUUAGAUGUUCUGGGCUGCACGCGCGCUACACUGAUGCGCUCAACGAGUUUACGACCUUGCCCGGAAGGGUUGGGUAAUCUUUUUAAAACGCAUCGUGAUGGGGAUAGAUUAUCGCAAUUAUUAAUCUUUAACGAGGAAUUCCUAGUAAGCGCGAGUCAUCAGCUCGUGCUGAUUACGUCCCUGCCCUUUGUACACACCGCCCGUCGCUCCUACCGAUUGAAUGUUCCGGUGAGCUCUUCGGACUGCGCGGUCUGCAGUUUCUGCGUUCCGUGCGGAAAGUUGUGCAAACCUUAACAUUUAGAGGAAGGAGAAGUCGUAACA
rnacentral:rRNA from 1 species